GACGAACGCUGGCGGCGUGCUUAACACAUGCAAGUCAAGGAGAAAGUUCCUUUCGGGGAAUGUGUAAACUGGCGCACGGGUGAGUAAUAUAUAAGCAAUCUACCUAUGGGUUCGGAAUAACGUCGAGAAAUCGGCGCUAAUACCGUAUAAUGCAGCGGCAUCGCAUGGUGAUGUUGUUAAAGUUUAAUUAACGCCUAUAGAUGAGCUUGUAUCUGAUUAGCUAGUUGGUGAGGUAAAGGCUCACCAAGGCGACGAUCUGUAGCGGGUCUGAGAGGAUGAUCCGCCACACUGGAACUGAGACACGGUCCAGACACCUACGGGAGGCUG
rnacentral:rRNA from 1 species